UACGAAGGUGGCAAGCGUUACUCGGAAUUACUAGGCGUAAAGGGCAGGUAGGUGGUUUGGUAAGUCUAUUGUGAAAGCUCCCGGCUUAACUGGGAGAGGUCAAUAGAAACUACCAGGCUUGAGUAUAGGAGAGGGUACUGGAAUUCCCGGUGUAGCGGUGAAAUGCGCAGAGAUCGGGAGGAACACCAAUGGCGAAAGCAGGUACCUGGACUAUUACUGACACUCAGCUGCGAAAGCUAGGGGAGCAAACAGG
rnacentral:misc_RNA from 1 species